GCAUUGGUAGUUUAGUGGUAGGACUCUCCCCUUUCAUGUGGGAGACCCCGGUUCAAUUCCCGGCCAGGGCA
rnacentral:tRNA from 1 species